CCCCUAGAUCAGUGGGGGCUCUUAUAGCAUUGUAUGAGUGAGCAGUUGAGAUAUUCGCCUCAUUAGUUAAUAUUAAUGCCUAUCAUCAACCUGGUAAAUAGUUUACCUCAUAAUGCUUAUUUAAAUUAGAUGGUUGCUAUAUGUUUUGGGCUUAUUGCUGUUGAGAAUAUGUGUGGCCUCUCUGAGUCAAGAAAUUAAAUCAAUUCAUCCAACUGGCUUUUUUUUUCUUGGCCCUGAUGUGCGACUGAAAUUCUUAGGUGUCGAAGCUGGGAAAAAGGCAACAGCAGAAGUAUGUGCUCGUCAUAAACGGGUUCUGGCUGUACUCAGUGAGGCCAGGUAUCUUACUAUAACAAGCUUGUCUAAGAUGGAAACUAUCAGCUCUUAAGGAACGGGGAACACUUAAAGAAACUAUUGAGUGGGGGGUGGUAGAAACAUGGAUAAGAAGAAAAGCAAGCUCAUAGGCAUUGCAGAUGAUGGACAGAAAGAGAUCCGCAUUGAAAGGGCAGAUGAAUUUGGCCGAAUAUUAACCCCAAAGGAAGCAAAGCUUUCCGAUUGCUUUCCCAUAAAUUUCAUGGAAAAGGGCCUGGCAAAAUGAAGCAAGAGAAGCGCAUGAAGCAAUACCAGGAAGAGUUGAAGUUGAAGCAGAUGAAGAAUUCAAACACGCCUUCUUUGUCUACAUAGAGGAUGAGGGAAGCUCAAGCUCAAAUGAAGACACCUUAUCUUGCGCUUAGUGGUCAUGUUAAGCCUGGUGAUCCAAGAAAGAAGUCAGAGCCACCAUUGAGAAGGAUCCUGGGAGCUUAACGCCCAUUGCUUGGAGAUAGGAAGGUCAGUGUCGACCCAAGUUUGUUGCUUUUUCAUC